rfam:Triticum aestivum genome assembly, contig: Triticum_aestivum_CS42_TGACv1_scaffold_130705_2BL
GAGCUACUCUCUCUGUUCGGAAAUACUUGUUGGAGAAAUAGAUGUAUGUAGACAUAUUUUAAUUAUAAAUACAUCCAUUUUAAUUCAUUUCCGCGACAAGUAAUUCCGGACAGAGGUAGUAAAAA